CCUANGGGUGGCAGCAGUGGGGAAUAUUGCGCAAUGGGCGAAAGCCUGACGCAGCAACGCCGCGUGAGGGAUGACGGCCUUCGGGUUGUAAACCUCUUUCAGCAGGGAAGAAGCGAAAGUGACGGUACCUGCAGAAGAAGCACCGGCUAACUACGUGCCAGCAGCCGCGGUAAUACGUAGGGUGCAAGCGUUGUCCGGAUUUAUUGGGCGUAAAGAGCUCGUAGGCGGUUAGUCACGUCGGAUGUGAAAACCAGGAGCUUAACUCCUGGCCUGCAUUCGAUACGGGCUGACUAGAGUGUUGUAGGGGAGACUGGAACUCCUGGUGUAGCGGUGAAAUGCGCAGAUAUCAGGAAGAACACCGGUGGCGAAGGCGGGUCUCUGGGCAACUACUGACGCUGAGGAGCGAAAGCGUGGGGAGCAAACAGGAUUAGAUACCCGGNUANUC
rnacentral:rRNA from 1 species